CCUACGGGAGGCUGCAGUGGGGAAUAUUGGACAAUGGGCGAAAGCCUGAUCCAGCCAUGCCGCGUGUGUGAAGAAGGCCUUCGGGUUGUAAAGCACUUUCAGUGGGGAAGAAAGCCUUGGGGCUAAUACCCUCGAGGAAGGACAUCACCCACAGAAGAAGCACCGGCUAACUCCGUGCCAGCAGCCGCGGUAAUACGGAGGGUGCGAGCGUUAAUCGGAAUUACUGGGCGUAAAGCGCGCGUAGGCGGUCUGAUAAGCCGGUUGUGAAAGCCCCGGGCUCAACCUGGGAACGGCAUCCGGAACUGUCAGACUAGAGUGCAGGAGAGGAAGGUAGAAUUCCCGGUGUAGCGGUGAAAUGCGUAGAGAUCGGGAGGAAUACCAGUGGCGAAGGCGGCCUUCUGGACUGACACUGACGCUGAGGUGCGAAAGCGUGGGUAGCAAACAGGAUUAGAUACCCGAGUAGUC
rnacentral:rRNA from 1 species